rnacentral:tRNA from 1 species
CGCGGGGUGGAGCAGCCAGGUAGCUCGUCGGGCUCAUAACCCGGAGGUCGAGGGUUCAAAUCCCUCCCCCGCAACCAGAA